CAUUUUAUAAUGUUCUACGUUUUUAUAAUAUGAAAAAUACGUGUAAUAUUUUAACUUCUUACAGAAAUUUUCGAAAAAAAAAUUUAUCAAGAUUAUCGACGACGAAUUAUUAAAAAAAAAAAAAAAGAAAAAAAAAAGAAAAAAAGGAAAAUUCAUUAUCAAAAUCGAUAUUUACAAUUUAUCUCCCUCUUAUCGCAUCAGAAAAUAGUUGUUUCGACGAAUAUGCUAUCUAAUCUCUCGAAAAGUAAACACGCUACACCCCGAUCGUUAAUCAAACUUUAUCGGUAAGAGCAAAAUGAACGAAAACGGGUCUUCAAAACGACCAUCAUCACCACCACCACCAAUGUUCACAUUGAUAUCCUAUCAAAAAAUGGACGCUCGACACGGUGACACAUGUUUAUUCGCUUUGAGAACGGCUUUUCACGUGGUGCUACGCCCCCCCUCGACGCGGCACCAAGAUCCUCACCCUGGGAUGGAGCCUCUCUCCUUCGUGCGCGCCGUUCCAUUAAAAUCGUUCCAAUAAAAGGAUUUCGAGCGUGCACGACAAAACGUUCCCGCCACGAGGAUAUUCUGCCUUGGCGGGAAUCGAUACAUCGGGACCAGAUACCGUAAAUAUUUUAAAACCCGGGGGGGCGGCGCGCGUUCCAACGUCUGCGCCGCCAUUUAUUAUUUACCCACGACGUUGCGUAAUAAUGGAGCGGCUGUGGACUUACGUAAACGGAGAAAAUUCGAAGAAUCGAACGAUACAGUCGUAACACAUCUUCGUCACUUUCGUAUUUUUCAUCGGUCCCCCUCCUUCGAUUAUUUAUUUUUCCACGAAUUAGGGAGAGGAUUACUCGAGACAGUGUCGAUCCAAAUAGUAACGCACGAUGGGGACAAGUUUCCAAAGAAGACGGAAAGGAA